UACGAAGGGUGCAAACGUUGCUCGGAAUUAUUGGGCGUAAAGCGCACGUAGGCGGCAUUGCAAGUCCCAUGUGAAAGCCCACGGCUUAACCGUGGAAGUGCAUGGGAAACUGCAGUGCUUGAGUACUUAAGAGGAUCGCGGAAUUCCCGGUGUAGAGGUGAAAUUCGUAGAUAUCGGGAGGAACACCAGUGGCGAAGGCGGCGAUCUGGGAAGAUACUGACGCUGAGGCGCGAAAGCUAGGGUAGCAAACGGG
rnacentral:rRNA from 1 species